GAUGGUAUUGUUAGCCGCUUUCAGGUCAGUUCACUCCCAAUUUUCUAGUAUAACUAAUUAAACUCCUACAAGUUAUGCAAGUUAUAACAUCAUUGGUGACCAUGCCACGGACUAUUUGUUGUGCAAACUGCUAAUGAAUGGGGCUCAUGUUAUAUAAAUGGAACAAUAAUCAUAUCCCAGAUAUGAGUUGUAUUUUAAGUGCCAAAAUUUUGUUUAUAGAAAUAAUGCAAUGUAAUAUGAUUUUCCCUCCUUUUUCUUGAUUGAAAAUUAUAUGCUUAAUUUG
rnacentral:misc_RNA from 1 species